rnacentral:rRNA from 1 species
AUGUCGAUGAUCUCCAGCAUGCUGGGCCGGAAGCAGCCGCCGCCGCAGCCCCAGCCGCAGCAGCACGCGGCGGCCCACAAGGCCAACGGCCACGGCGGCGGCGGGGACGAGGUCGUGGAGCCGGUGAGCAUCGACAUCCUGGAGCCGUUCAUGGAGGCCAUCUCACUGACUGCGUUCGGCGGCGGCGGCGGCUGCCGGCCGGCGCUGGGCCUGCCGUUCUCGACGGCGAGCAUGGACUGGAAGGAGACGCCGACGGCGCACGUGUUCAUGGCGGACGUGCCGGGCCUGCGGCGGGAGGAGGUGAAGGUGGAGGUGGAGCAGGAGCGGGUGCUCCGGAUCAGCGGGCAGCGCGCGCGCGCCGCCGAGGACAAGGGCGACCGGUGGCACCGCGUGGAGCGGAGCGCCGAGAAGUUCGUGCGCACCGUGCGCCUGCCGCCCAACGCCGACGUCGACGGCGGCAGCGUCCACGCCUCGCUCGACAACGGCGUGCUCACCAUCACCAUCCCCAAGGACGACGGCAAGAAGGCCUACGGCAGGAUCAUCCCCAUCACCAACUAA